GGGUUGUCAUGCCAAUGGCACUGCCCGGUAGCUAAAUGCGGAAGAGAUAAGUGCUGAAAGCAUCUAAGCACGAAACUUGCCCCGAGAUGAGUUCUCCCUGAGACUAUAAGUCUCCUGAAGGAACGUUAAAGACGAUGACGUUGAUAGGCCGGGUGUGUAAGCGCAGCGAUGCGUUGAGCUAACCGGUACUAAUGAACCGUGAGGCUUAACCUU
rnacentral:rRNA from 1 species